CAUCAUUACUAAUAACCUGCUGGCCUUGCUCUGUCUGGUGGGUUCUGUUCCAGUGCUAUAUCACUUCCAGUGACACAUACAUGAUUGAUUGGUUGGUAGUUUUCAGUUUCUCAUCUUGGAGAUUCAC